GAUGAAGAACGCAGCGAAAUGCGAUAAGUAAUGUGAAUUGCAGAAUUCAGUGAAUCAUCGAAUCUUUGAACGCACAUUGCGCCCGCCAGUAUUCUGGCGGGCAUGCCUGUUCGAGCGUCAUUUCAACCCUCAAGACCCCUUCGGGGGACUUGGUGUUGGGGACCGGCACAGGGGCCUGCCUGCUUGUCUUGCAGCGCCCUCGCCGCCCCCGAAAUGAAUUGGCGGCCUCGUCGCGGCCUCCCCUGCGUAGUAGCACAAACCUCGCAACGGGAACGUGACGGCGGCCACUGCCGUAAAACAACCCAAUUUUAUUAGAGUUGACCUCGAAUCAGGUAGGAAUACCCGCUGAACUUAAGCAUAUCAAUAAGCCGGAGGA
rnacentral:misc_RNA from 1 species